UCCGGUUUAAACGUUUGGCGCCACUCGCCCCGCGCCCCCAGGAGCCAGCCCCGCUAGGUCCAGAUGGGCUGCGCCCCACCUGCUCCGGAGCGAGGCCCAGCUGGGAUCUCGCAGGGACCGCCUAACCGGAGGCGAGGCCCGCACCUACCUGUGCGGAGGCUGUAGGCGAGCCCCGCUCUAGCUGCCGGUGCCGCUCGCUGCCGAUUUGAAUUUAACCCGCUAGUCAGGAGGUGUCCAAGGCAAACACAGCUUUGGAAAAUUGUGAAGGAUAGUGACUGUGUGGCACGGGCUGGGAUCUCAAUGCUGUGUCUUAGGCUCAUUUGUGUUGACCCUAUGCAGCUUCUUCAUGGUUGAGGCUGCUAAACCAGUUCUCUGUGCCUGUUUGAUGACAGUUUAUUGCCUAGAUAGAUGAAGUCAUCCACUACUUCCACAGUUUGUCUGGAAGCACAGCUGUCUUGUAUCACUUUUGUGCUGAUGCUCUGGAAUUUUUGUGUUUGCCCAAGAAGCCCUGGAAAUGGUGGGUACAAAAAUGUUUUGGUAUGAAAACAGAACAUCUUAGUCCAUGACUGCAGGACCUGGGAUAUAAAUCAACAUAAAAAGACACAAACAAAUUUAAUUUAUGACUUACCAAUUUGAGCAGAACAUGCUGUAGUCUGCUUGAUCUACAAAUCGUCAUAUCAGCACCACUUUGUGUAUUGCUUGGCUAAUCUUGAGAAUCUUAUUUGUUCUGCUUGGUAAAACUGUUUACACUAUUUGGCAAUGGUGGCUAACUCAAGCUGGUAUUUGUAGCUUCAAUUCAAUACAUCUUCCUCCUGUUAUUUAUUUAUUUAUUUAUUUUAAAAUGAUGUAAGGGUGAUUGUAGCGGGGUGGUCCCCCGCUCCGGCCCUGAAGGGGU